UACGUAGGGCGCAAGCGUUGUCCGGAAUUAUUGGGCGUAAAGAGCUCGUAGGUGGUGUGUCGCGUCUGCCGUGAAAGCCCGGGGCUUAACUCCGGGUCUGCGGUGGAUACGGGCAGACUAGAGGCAGGUAGGGGAGAACGGAAUUCCCGGUGUAGCGGUGAAAUGCGCAGAUAUCAGGAGGAACACCGAUGGCGAAGGCAGUGGGCUGGGCCGGCACUGACGCUGAGGAGCGAAAGCGUGGGGAGCGAACAGG
rnacentral:rRNA from 1 species